AACGAACGCUGGCGGCAUGCCUAAUACAUGCAAGUCGAACGAGAUCUUCGGAUCUAUUGGCGCACGGGUGCGUAACGCGUUGGAAUCUUCCCUUGUGUUCGGAAUAACUUCUUGAAACGGAAGCUAAUACCGGAUGAUUACGUAAGUCCAAAGAUUUAUCGCCCAAUGAUGAGCCCGCGUAGGAUUAGGUAGUUGGUUAGGUAAAUGCUCACCAAGCCGAGGAUCCUUAGAUGGUCUGAGAGGAUGAUCAGCCACACUGGGACUGAGAAACGGCGCAGAAUACUACGGGAGGAAGCAGUAGGGAAUAUUGGAAAAUGGGCGAAAGCAUGAUAAAGCAAUGACGCGUGAGUGAUGAAGGGAUUAGGGUUGUAAAGAUCUUUUACAAGGGAAGAUAAUGACAGUACCGGGAGAAUAAGCUCCGGCUAACUCCGUG
rnacentral:rRNA from 1 species